ACUCCUACGGGAGGCAGCAGUGGGGAAUUUUGGACAAUGGGCGAAAGCCUGAUCCAGCCAUGCCGCGUGCAGGAUGAAGGCCUUCGGGUUGUAAACUGCUUUUGUACGGAACGAAAAGACUCCUUCUAAUAAAGGGGGUCCAUGACGGUACCGUAAGAAUAAGCACCGGCUAACUACGUGCCAGCAGCCGCGGUAAUAC
rnacentral:rRNA from 1 species